rnacentral:lncRNA from 1 species
CCACCCCUUCCUUUUCUUGUCUGUGUGGUCGACGGUCGGAUUCGUCGAAAAAUUGAGAUCAAAGAAGCCCCUGUUCUACCCCUUCCCAUUUGGCUAUUUCUGGCAUCGGAGGUCAUCACCGACUGCCAGUUUGGUUUUCUCCGGGCUGCACCACCGCAGCUCCUGCUGCUGUCGGCCACUAGUCGAUAGUCAUGGCCCCCAGUCUGAAGAACAAGAAGGGACCUCACGGUCCCUUGUUCUGCCAAAUGAAAACCCACGGG